GAGAGAGAUCAGUGGAAGAGAAAAUGAAUGGUUGUUCAUUGGAAAGAUAAAAUAAAACACAAACAAAGGACAUAUGAGAUUCUAAAUGGCAGCAAUGUCAGCAGCAAGCAGCAUAGCACGGCUCGCUGGGCAGGAAGCUGGUGCCCUUGGAUCUGGAGAAGUUUGUGUGGGAAGGUAGGAAAAGAACGAAUGAGGAAAAGAGCAGGCGACGGAGAGAGGUUGGAUUCAGACUCAGCCAGCAGGACCAUCUUCAUUUGUGAUGAAAUGGAACCACCAAGGACACACAUCUCUGAAAUAAGCCUGCCUGAGAAGAUGUUUCCUUUUCCCCCAAAGGCUUACAACAACAAAUGUUCCCAAGGAGAUGAGAAACUCUUUGAGGGAACAGACUGUUCGGUUUUGUUUCUGUAUCUCCAGUUGCUAACACAGUGCUCUACACUUCAGCUUGCUCACAGUGGUUAGAGCUCUGGGUCAGGAAAACCUGAAUUCAAAUCUAGCCUCAGGGACUUAUUGAGAAAAUCACUUAGUUUGCUGUAUGUCUCAGUUUUCUCAACUAUAAAAUCGGAGUCACAAUAGCAUCUACCUUCCAGAGGAUCAAAUGAGAUAGUAUUGGUAAAGUGCUUAACAUAGCAUCUGGUAUAUAAUGCAGGCGCUUAAUGCUUGUUCCCUUCCUCCCCUCAACAUGGAAUUAAAAAAAAAAAUUCACUUAGUCCCUCUUCCAUAAAAUCAACUGGAGCAGAAUUAGAUGAUCUCUGAAAUCAGUUCAAUUUAAGAAGCAUUCUUUUGAGUAUGUACUAGAGGGGCAGCUAGGUGGUGAAGUAGAUAGAGCUCCAGGUCUGAAGUUAGGAAGACUCAUGUUCAAGCAUUCAAAUCUGGCUUCAGACACUUAACUGUGUGACCCUGGGCAAGUCAUUUAACCCUGCGUGCCUCAGUUUCCUCAUCUGUAAAAUGAGCUGGAGAAGAAAAUAAUAAAACUAUUCCAGUGUCUUUACCA
rnacentral:lncRNA from 1 species